rnacentral:rRNA from 1 species
UACGGAGGGGACUAGCGUUGUUCGGAAUUACUGGGCGUAAAGCGCACGUAGGCGGAUUUGUAAGUCAGGGGUGAAAUCCCGGGGCUCAACCUCGGAACUGCCUUUGAUACUGCAAAUCUCGAGUCCGGAAGAGGUGAGUGGAAUUCCUAGUGUAGAGGUGAAAUUCGUAGAUAUUAGGAAGAACACCAGUGGCGAAGGCGGCUCACUGGUCCGGUACUGACGCUGAGGUGGCGAAAAGCGUGGGGAGCAAACAGG